GAGGUGUUGAGAGAUAGCUGGGAUCC
rnacentral:piRNA from 1 species